UAAAACCAGCUAGGCCACUGGCAACCCACCUUCGCUUGAAACGUUUGUGAACUCAUCAGCUUCGUUGGGCAUAGCUGGGCCGAGGUCUUGAAUCAAACAGGUCCAUCAGGAGGCCGCGUACAAGUUUUUUGUUACCAGAAAGAAUGACACUAUAAAAUCAUCAAUCCUAAUGGCCUUCCUACGUUUAUCAAAUUGAUCAGUACUAAACCUAGGCAUGCCCGUCAGAGUUUCGGUGAACUUGACAGAGUGAAAAAAAGGAGCAGGUCUGACCUUGGUAUGC
rnacentral:lncRNA from 1 species